GACGAACGCUGGCGGCGCGCCUAACACAUGCAAGUCGAACGAGCGAGAGAGAGCUUGCUUUCUCGAGCGAGUGGCGAACGGGUGAGUAACGCGUGAGGAACCUGCCUCAAAGAGGGGGACAACAGUUGGAAACGACUGCUAAUACCGCAUAAGCCCACGGCUCGGCAUCGAGCAGAGGGGAAAGGAGCAAUCCGCUUUGAGAUGGCCUCGCGUCCGAUUAGCUAGUUGGUGAGGUAACGGCCCACCAAGGCGACGAUCGGUAGCCGGACUGAGAGGUUGAACGGCCACAUUGGGACUGAGACACGGCCCAGACUCCUACGGGAGGCAGCAGUGGGGAAUAUUGCACAAUGGGGGAAACCCUGAUGCAGCGACGCCGCGUGGAGGAAGAAGGUCUUCGGAUUGUAAACUCCUGUUGUUGAGGAAGAUAAUGACGGUACUCAACAAGGAAGUGACGGCUAACUACGUGCCAGCAGCCGCGGUAAAACGUAGGUCACAAGCGUUGUCCGGAAUUACUGGGUGUAAAGGGAGCGCAGGCGGGAAGACAAGUUGGAAGUGAAAUCCAUGGGCUCAACCCAUGAACUGCUUUCAAAACUGUUUUUCUUGAGUAGUGCAGAGGUAGGCGGAAUUCCCGGUGUAGCGGUGGAAUGCGUAGAUAUCGGGAGGAACACCAGUGGCGAAGGCGGCCUACUGGGCACCAACUGACGCUGAGGCUCGAAAGUGUGGGUAGCAAACAGGAUUAGAUACCCUGGUAGUCCACACUGUAAACGAUGAUUACUAGGUGUUGGAGGAUUGACCCCUUCAGUGCCGCAGUUAACACAAUAAGUAAUCCACCUGGGGAGUACGACCGCAAGGUUGAAACUCAAAGGAAUUGACGGGGGCCCGCACAAGCAGUGGAGUAUGUGGUUUAAUUCGACGCAACGCGAAGAACCUUACCAAGUCUUGACAUCCUGCGACGCACAUAGAAAUAUGUGUUUCCUUCGGGACGCAGAGACAGGUGGUGCAUGGUUGUCGCCAGCUCGUGUCGUGAGAUGUUGGGUUAAGUCCCGCAACGAGCGCAACCCUUAUGGUCAGUUACUACGCAAGAGGACUCUGGCCAGACUGCCGUUGACAAAACGGAGGAAGGUGGGGAUGACGUCAAAUCAUCAUGCCCUUUAUGACUUGGGCUACACACGUACUACAAUGGCGUUAAACAAAGAGAAGCAAGACCGCGAGGUGGAGCAAAACUCAGAAACAACGUCCCAGUUCGGACUGCAGGCUGCAACUCGCCUGCACGAAGUCGGAAUUGCUAGUAAUCGCAGACCAGCAUGCUGCGGUGAAUACGUUCCCGGGCCU
rnacentral:rRNA from 1 species